CAGGCUGCUCUGGUGCGACACAAUGAUCGCUGCGUUGCUUCUCCGUCCAAACUCUAACCCUAGCUCGCGAUUCUCCGGCAUGGACGUCUCCCUCUACGGUCGACGGCGUCGCUUUUUCGUAAGAAAUUCCCCCGUUUCUUGCUUCUUUUUCUUCUCUAGCAAGAAAUGGGAUUCCUUAGCUGGUGAUUUCGUGCUUCGAGCCGCCGUUGAAGAUCGCGGAGAAUCCUAACGCGUCUUGAGGUCGAGGAACAAGCGCAUGAAAACGUCGGAUGAUAAUUCCUUAGCUGGUUAGAUGUUUAAUGUCAUUUACAAGUAUGUCAUCCUUGUCUUGGUUUUGUCAUGCUCGAAAUCAGUAAGCUAAAUUGCAUCACAUAUGCCCAAUGUUACAAGGCGCAAAACUUGGUUGGAUUCCACUAUAUUGUAUAUCUGGCUGUUAAUUUGGGAGAAUGUGGAAAGAAUGAGAACUCUGGAGUUUUUUUAAGCUAUUUGGUGUUCAAACAAGAUAUUAUAUGAUAUUGGUUAUGCUUUUGCAAUUCGUUUGGAUUCUGAACUAGUAAUAACUAUCCAAUGAGUAAGAUCUCUUGGUUGAAGACCAAAAAAGUAUCCUAAUUUAUUCAUGUUGAUACUUGGUAGACUUGGAAGUUACAAAGCAUUUAAGUAGCCACAGUUGUUUUACUUCCAAGUCCUAUUUAAAUCUUAGUAGAUAAGCUGCCGAGCAGCACUAAAAUUCCUUCAAG
rnacentral:lncRNA from 1 species